CUGCUCCAGAGAAAAGAGUUCUUCCAUAGGUCUCUUCCUAGCCGCUUUAAAACAGCAAUUCUGAGGCUGCUUCCUGUGAGGAAAGUCGGGUCCUGGCCUGGUGUGGGGGCAGUAAACACUGGAUGGACACUGGAAUGGACACUUGUUAGAGAGGCAGUUCAGCUCAUGCCUGCAGCUAACAGGUAUCAGAGCUCAAGAUGCCAACGUGGAACCCCUUGGUAAUCCAGAUGUCAUAACUCCAAGGAGAAACUACUACCCUGGACUGUGGACACAGAGAAAAGCCACUGGGCUUAUCAGUACCUCAGAGCUC
rnacentral:lncRNA from 1 species